rnacentral:rRNA from 1 species
GACGAACGCUAGCGGCGUGCUUAACACAUGCAAGUCGAACGAGACGAUUGAAAGCUUGCUUUUGAAAGUCGAGUGGCAAACGGGUGAGUAACGCGUAGACAACCUGCCUUUGAGAUGGGGACAACAGUUCGAAAGGACUGCUAAUACCGAAUGUUGUAUAUUUUCCACAUGGAAGAUAUAUUAAAGAUGGCCUCUAUUUAUAAGCUAUCGCUCAAAGAUGGGUCUGCGUCUGAUUAGCUGGUUGGUGGGGUAACGGCCUACCAAGGCGACGAUCAGUAGCCGGUCUGAGAGGAUGAACGGCCACAUUGGGACUGGGACACGGCCCAGACUCCUACGGGGGGCAGCAGUGGGGAAUCUUCCACAAUGGACGAAAGUCUGAUGGAGCAACGCCGCGUGAGUGAAGAAGGGUUUCGGCUCGUAAAGCUCUGUUGUCGGGGACGAAUGUGCAGUAUUUGAAUAAAGUACUGUAAUGACGGUACCUGACGAGGAAGCCACGGCUAACUACGUGCCAGCCGCCGCCGUAA